CUCAGGACGAACGCUGGCGGCGUGCUUAACACAUGCAAGUCGAACGGAAAGGCCCUGCUUUUGUGGGGUGCUCGAGUGGCGAACGGGUGAGUAACACGUGAGUAACCUGCCCUUGACUUUGGGAUAACUUCAGGAAACUGGGGCUAAUACCGGAUAGGAGCUCCUGCUGCAUGGUGGGGGUUGGAAAGUUUCGGCGGUUGGGGAUGGACUCGCGGCUUAUCAGCUUGUUGGUGGGGUAGUGGCUUACCAAGGCUUUGACGGGUAGCCGGCCUGAGAGGGUGACCGGCCACAUUGGGACUGAGAUACGGCCCAGACUCCUACGGGAGGCAGCAGUGGGGAAUAUUGCACAAUGGGCGGAAGCCUGAUGCAGCAACGCCGCGUGCGGGAUAACGGCCUUCGGGUUGUAAACCGCUUUCGCCUGUGACGAAGCGUGAGUGACGGUAAUGGGUAAAGAAGCACCGGCUAACUACGUGCCAGCAGCCGCGGUGAUACGUAGGGUGCGAGCGUUGUCCGGAUUUAUUGGGCGUAAAGGGCUCGUAGGUGGUUGAUCGCGUCGGAAGUGUAAUCUUGGGGCUUAACCCUGAGCGUGCUUUCGAUACGGGUUGACUUGAGGAAGGUAGGGGAGAAUGGAAUUCCUGGUGGAGCGGUGGAAUGCGCAGAUAUCAGGAGGAACACCAGUGGCGAAGGCGGUUCUCUGGGCCUUUCCUGACGCUGAGGAGCGAAAGCGUGGGGAGCGAACAGGCUUAGAUACCCUGGUAGUCCACGCUGUAAACGGUGGGUACUAGGUGUGGGGUCCAUUCCACGGGUUCCGUGCCGUAGCUAACGCUUUAAGUACCCCGCCUGGGGAGUACGGCCGCAAGGCUAAAACUCAAAGGAAUUGACGGGGCCCCGCACAAGCGGCGGAGCAUGCGGAUUAAUUCGAUGCAACGCGUAGAACCUUACCUGGGUUUGACAUGGAUCGGGAGUGCUCAGAGAUGGGUGUGCCUCUUUUGGGGUCGGUUCACAGGUGGUGCAUGGCUGUCGUCAGCUCGUGUCGUGAGAUGUUGGGUUAAGUCCCGCAACGAGCGCAACCCUUGUUCACUGUUGCCAGCACGUUAUGGUGGGGACUCAGUGGAGACCGCCGGGGUCAACUCGGAGGAAGGUGGGGAUGACGUCAAGUCAUCAUGCCCCUUAUGUCCAGGGCUUCACGCAUGCUACAAUGGCUGGUACAGAGAGUGGCGAGCCUGUGAGGGUGAGCGAAUCUCGGAAAGCCGGUCUCAGUUCGGAUUGGGGUCUGCAACUCGACCUCAUGAAGUCGGAGUCGCUAGUAAUCGCAGAUCAGCAACGCUGCGGUGAAUACGUUCCCGGGGCUUGUACACACCGCCCGUCAAGUCAUGAAAGUUGGUAACACCCGAAGCCGGUGGCCUAACCGUUGUGGGGGAGCCGUCGAAGGUGGGACUGGUGAU
rnacentral:rRNA from 1 species